CGGGUUAAUACAACUCCUCAUCUGUGCAGUUCGGCUCCAGUUGUAAAUUCUAAAUAUGGGAGAUGUCUGGAUUGGGGAAAAAAUGGUACUAAAGUGAUAUCGGUAUUUACAAGUGUGACACCUUACGACCAUUAUGGAUGCACUUUUUCAUAGAUAAAUGUGCUAUCGCCAUCAGUAAUGCGGAUUUCUGUUCCAUAUACAAUCCAUGAACAUUCGCCAGUUUCAUUAAGAUGAUUUGAAGUAUCAAAUUCCCAUGAUGCCUGCACGUUGUAACCCAAGUGAUCAGGGUACAAGAUACCAUUUGGAGCCUUCAACCUUGCCAUUCGAAGCCUUUUCAAUGGAACUAUGAUUUAGCUUUGAUCUUAUUUAUGCAGUUGAGUUUUUUUAAUUUCAUCUUGGCUCCAUUUAAAUUUAUUUUAGUGCCGAAAAAUGAAUACAUAAAUGGUCUGCUCGAUGGAAAUGUGAUUAAGUAGGUAGUCAACAUUACUUGAGGAUAUCGAUACAUCUUUCAAGAUGUUUUAUUCUAUUCUGAGA